rfam:Aedes albopictus isolate Foshan contig139625, whole genome shotgun sequence.
UGCCCAGCAACUCCAAUCCCUACCUCCUCGUGGUACCGGCCGGAAACUAUGAGCAACCUUAGGGAAGAUCGGGUAACCAACCCCGGUGGGAACUUUGGUCGUAGGCUGAUAGGGAAGG